CCAGCCCCGCCGCCGCCGCCGCGUAGACGCGAGGACGCACACGCAUCCGCUACCACCGCGGCCAUGGUCCUCUCCCACCGCCGCUUCCUCCUUCCACCCCGGCCUCUUUGCCAUCGGCGCCGUCGCACCACUGCCGGCCCCUGCUCGAGCUGGUCAGGCGGCGUGCAGAUCCGCCACUGCCACAGCGUCGUCGUCCUCCACAACCACGCAGCGGCUCCUCGCCCGCGACCCUCUUCUCCAGGUCAGGCUCGUGGGGAUGGUGAGUGACAAGGCGGGGAGGAACACGGAUCUAUCUCCCACAUCGACUUCAUCAGACGGAUGAUUUUUCGUGAUGAUGGGGAUCCAUUCUUCUUCCAUGUUGACGCCUCCGGUCCUGCCAUGAUUCGUCUUGUCGUCUUCCCCGGCAUUCGCAUAGGUCAGGCUCGUGGGGUUGGUGAGUGACAAGGCGGGGAGGAACACGGAUCUGUCUCCCGCAUCGACUUCAUCAGACGGGAUGAUUUUUCGUGAUGAUGGGGAUCCAUUCUUCUUCCAUGUUGACGCCUCCGGUCCUGCCACGAUUCGUCUUGUCGUCCUCCCCGGCAUUCGCAUAGGUCAGGCUCGUGGGGUUGGUGAGUGACAAGGCGGGGAGGAACACGGAUCUGUCUCCCGCAUCGACUUCAUCAGAUGG